GGUGGCUCUGCAAAGACUUGGAAUUCGAGCAUUAAUAUUAGAAAGAUCUCCAGAACUCCGAGCCGCUGGUGCUGCCUUAACCCUUUUCCCAAACGCUUGGCUUGCUCUUGAUGCUCUUGGUGUUGCUCAUAAGCUCUCUCCCUUUAUUUUCCUUUAAAGACGGAAGUUGUCACCGAUGUCGGAACUGGAGCUACUCAGGCAAUCUCCUAUGCUGGAACUACAGAGAGCGGGCUUGGAGCUGAACC